rnacentral:tRNA from 1 species
GGGGGUGAAUGGUUGCCGGAUGGCCUGCGAAGUCACUCUGGCGAAGGUUCGAUUCCUUCCACCUCCA